GACGAACGCUGGCGGCGUGCUUAACACAUGCCAGUCGAACGGAAAGGCCCUGCUUUUGUGGGGUGCUCGAGUGGCGAACGGGUGAGUAACACGUGAGUAACCUGCCCUUGACUUUGGGAUAACUUCAGGAAACUGGGGCUAAUACCGGAUAGGAGCUCCUGCUGCAUGGUGGGGGUUGGAAAGUUUCGGCGGUUGGGGAUGGACUCGCGGCUUAUCAGCUUGUUGGUGGGGUAGUGGCUUACCAAGGCUUUGACGGGUAGCCGGCCUGAGAGGGUGACCGGCCACAUUGGGACUGAGAUACGGCCCAGACUCCUACGGGAGGCAGCAGUGGGGAAUAUUGCACAAUGGGCGGAAGCCUGAUGCAGCAACGCCGCGUGCGGGAUGACGGCCUUCGGGUUGUAAACCGCUUUCGCCUGUUACGAAGCGUGAGUGACGGUAAUGGGUAAAGAAGCACCGGCUAACUACGUG
rnacentral:rRNA from 1 species